AUUGAACGCUGGCGGCAUGCUUUACACAUGCAAGUCGAACGGCAGCGCGGGCUUCGGCCUGGCGGCGAGUGGCGAACGGGUGAGUAAUGCAUCGGAACGUGCCCAGUCUUGGGGGAUAGCCCGGCGAAAGCCGGAUUAAUACCGCAUACGACCUGAGGGUGAAAGCGGGGGACCGAAAGGCCUCGCGCUAUUUGAGCGGCCGAUGUCGGAUUAGCUAGUUGGUGGGGUAAAGGCUUACCAAGGCGACGAUCCGUAGCUGGUCUGAGAGGACGACCAGCCACACUGGGACUGAGACACGGCCCAGACUCCUACGGGAGGCAGCAGUGGGGAAUUUUGGACAAUGGGGGCAACCCUGAUCGAGCCAUGCCGCGUGCGGGAAGAAGGCCUUCGGGUUGUAAACCGCUUUUGUUCGGGAAGAAAUCCUCUGGGCUAAUACCCCGGGGGGAUGACGGUACCGGAAGAAUAAGCACCGGCUAACUACGUG
rnacentral:rRNA from 1 species